ACAAGACUACACACCCUUAAAAUGAAUAACAUUUUUUUCAAUUAUUUAACCAUUUUUAUGAAAUAUUUAUUUUGUUUGCCGUGGGACAUAAACGCCAUUUUCUCCAACAUGCAGUGACUGAAAAAUAGAACCAUAAACACACUAAAAACGCAACAUAAUAACAUCAGUCAGUUUUAUUUGUGCUUUGUAAUCCAAGUCUUCUGAAUUCAUACAACUGCCAGUAACAAAUCCAAAUUCAACCCUUUAUUCAGCGAUCAUCUUUCAUCCUCAGCAACGACCGUAUAAACAUCAAAGCCCGCACUGAUUCGUUCGUCCAAAUUCAAAAUGUACCACUUCAAUUAACUACGACGGUAAAAUCGAACGCUCAUUGGUCCUCGCCUGCUUCGUCACAGAUUGCGACAGCAGUGUUCCUGUCUAGGUGUUUGAAUGAUGCGCGCUUUCACAAAGUGAAUCAGGAGGAUAGUCUGAGUAAUAUUUUUAGCGAUUAAAAACUUAAAUUGUGCUCUGUACCUCACACCAAACUAUUGUAUUUCACCUGCGGUGGCAACGCAGCAUCAUUUGGACUACUUUUGACCUGGCCAUGUACCCUGCCCUCUUCAUACAGGUUGUCAUGAUGUCAUUACAGAAGGCAGCCGAAGAACAACUUGGGACACCUCCUGAAAAGACAGUGACUCACACGCACACACACACACACACA